AAGUUUUUGGUCGAGGUAGUUUUUGAUGAAGUUGAAGUCCAAUCAACUUGAAACUUAGUACACAUGUUCCUUAUGAUAUGAUCUUUCUAAUUCAAAUGCCAAAUUAGAGUUUUGACCCCAAUUUUACGGUUCACUGAUAGAAAAUGAUAGUGCAAAUUUCAGGUUAAAGUUUUUGGCUUCAGGUUAAAGUUUUUGGUCAAGGUAGUUUUUGAUGAAGUUGAAGUCCAAUCAACUUGAAACUUAGUAUACAUGUGCCCUAUGAUAUGAUCUUUCUAAUUUAAAUGCCAAAUUAGAGUUUUGACCCCAAUUUUACGGUUCACUGAACAUAGAAAAUGAUAGUGCAAAUUUCAGGUUAAAGUUUUUGGCUUCAGGUUAAAGUUUUUGGUCAAGGUAGUUUUUGAUGAAGUUGAAGGCCAAUCAACUUGAAACUUAGUAUACAUGUGCCCUAUGAUAUGAUCUUUUCUAAUUUAAAUGCCAAAUUAGAGUUUUGACCCCAAUUUUACGGUUCACUGAACAUAGAAAAUGAUAGUGCAAAUUUCAGGUUAAAGUUUUUGGUCAAGGUAGUUUUUGAUGAAGUUGAAGUCCAAUCAACUUGAAACUUAGUAUUACAUGUGCCCUAUGAUAUGAUCUUUCUAAUUUAAAUGCCAAAUUAGAGUUUUGACCCCCAAAUUUUUACGGUUCACUGAACAUAGAAAUGAUAGUGCAAAUUUCAGGUUAAAGUUUUUGGUCAAGGUAGUUUUUGAUGAAGUUGAAGUCCAAUCAACUUGAAACUUAGUAUACAUGUGCCCUAUGAUAUGAUCUUUCUAAUUUAAAUGCCAAAUUAGAGUUUUGACCCCAAUUUUACGGUUCACUGAACAUAGAAAAUGAUAGUGCAAAUUUCAGGUUAAAGUUUUUGGUCAAGGUAGUUUUUGAUAAAGUAGAAGUCCAAUCAACUUGAAACUUAGUAUACAUGUGCCCUAUGAUAUGAUCUUUCUAAUUUAAAUGCCAAAUUAGAGUUUGACCCCAAUUUUACGGUUCACUGAACAUAGAAAAUGAUAGUGCAAAUUUCAGGUUAAAGUUUUUGGUCAAGUAGUUUUUGAUGAAGUUGAAGUCCAAUCAACUUGAAACUUAGUAUACAUGUGCCCUAUGAUAUGAUCUUUCUAAUUUAAAUGCCAAAUUAGAGUUUUGACCCCAAUUUUACGGUUCACUGAACAUAGAAAUGAUAGUGCAAAUUUCAGGUUAAAGUUUUUGGUCAAGGUAGUUUUUGAUAAAGUAGAAGUCCAAUCAACUUGAAACUUAGUAUACAUGUUUCCUUUGAUAAGAUCAUUCUAAUUUUAAUGCCAAAUUAGAGAAUUUAUUCCAAUUUCACAGUCCUUUAAACAUAGAAAAUGAUAGUGUGAGUGGGGCAUCCGUGUACUGUGGACACAUUCUUGUUCCAACAAAUAUUC
rnacentral:lncRNA from 1 species